GCCCCUCCCCCCUCGGCCCCUGGGUCCCCAGGCCCCUCCCCCCUCGGCCCCUGGGUCCCCAGGCCCCUCCCCUUUCUGUUUCCUGACCAAAGGAAGAUCAUGUCGUUUGUUUGGUCACUGAUGUUUUAUUUAAAGACAGCAGCACACAGUCACAGUUCAGAGGGGACGGGGGGGGUCAAAGGGGUCAAGGGGCCAGAGUUCAUGAACCCCCAUGUCUUCUUUCAGAGCCUGAGUGGCCGCCAUGUUGGAUCCUGUGGGCAGUUCUACUUCCUGCCUCCACCCUCCUCAACUUCCUGGUUCUCAUUGGAUGCUGCAUCUGGACAGGUGUGUGUGUCCAGGGAGAAGGAGGUCUUUGUGUGUGUCUGUGUGUGUGUGUGUGGGGCGCUGUGUAGAUAAAUGUGCGUGCCAAAACCAAGAAAACAGCGAAGAAAUUCCAGAAGUUGCAUAGAGGGCCUUUAAAUCAACAAUAAUGCUGCUGUGUUUAGUAACCUACGGAAGCCGAGAACGGCCAUCGAUUAUUUAUUUUUUUAUGCACUGUUAUCUCGUGAUAACGACUUAUUAUCUCGUUUUCUCGAUAUAACAAAGGUCGUUUUCUCGUGAUAACGAAUUAAUUAUCUCGUUAUCUCGAUAU
ensembl:lncRNA